CCUGAAGACGAUGACGACUUCUCUGAGUACUCCGUGUAUUCUGUGGAGGACUACCAGGACCCUGAAGUUUCAUGGGAUGGUGAUGCCGAGACUAAGGGCUGGGACCAUAGAGGCUCAGAUCUCUGCUCCCUGCCACUGGAUGAGGGUUCCUGUACUGCCUAUACCCUGCGCUGGUACCAUCGAGCUGUACCUGGUGGCACAGCGUGUCAUCCCUUUGUCUACGGUGGCUGCAAGGGGAAUGCUAAUCGUUUUGGAACCCGUGAGGCGUGCGAGCGCCGCUGCCCACCCCAAGGGGUCCACCGUCAGAACACAGGUGCUGCCUAGGGCUGAGGCCCAGAUGAUGCACUUGGUGGCCAGCAAUCCCUGGAGGUGGCAGGUCUCAGCCGGGUCCUGCUAUCCUCCAUUUGGUGCUAGAGUUGUGUGUGCGCAUGGGCGUGUGCACGUGUCCACUAUUUCAGUGACUUGGUCCUGUGGGUCUAGCCUUCCCCCCUGUGGACAAAUCCCCAUUGUGGCGCCCGCUUUCCUGGCAGAUGACUCACUGUUGGGGGUGGUUGUGGGCAGUGAAUGGAUGUGACUGGUGUCCAACCUGCCCCUUGACCCAAGGCUGUGAUACCAUGGUGCUGAUGGGAGGGGAGGGGGGCAUUAAAGCUGCUGUUUUAAAAGGC
rnacentral:lncRNA from 1 species